GACGAACGCUGGCGGCGUGCUUAACACAUGCAAGUCGAACGGAAAGGCCCUGCUUUUGUGGGGUGCUCGAGUGGCGAACGGGUGAGUAACACGUGAGUAACCUGCCCUUGACUUUGGGAUAACUUCAGGAAACUGGGGCUAAUACCGGAUAGGAGCUCCUGCUGCAUGGUGGGGUUUGGAAAGUUUCGGCGGUUGGGGAUGGACUCGCGGCUUAUCAGCUUGUUGGUGGGGUAGUGGCUUACCAAGGCUUUGACGGGUAGCCGGCCUGAGAGGGUGACCGGCCACAUUGGGACUGCGAUACGGCCCAGACUCCUACGGGGGGCAGCAGUGGGGAAUAUUGCACAAUGGGCGGAAGCCUGAUGCAGCAACGCCGCGUGCGGGAUGACGGCCUUCGGGUUGUAAACCGCUUUCGCCUGUGACGAAGCGUGAGUGACGGUAAUGAGUAAAGAAGCACCGGCUAACUACGUG
rnacentral:rRNA from 1 species